GAUGAACGCUAGCGGCAGGCCUAAUACAUGCAAGUCGAGGGGUAGAGAGAGCUUGCUCUCUUGAGACCGGCGCACGGGUGCGUAACGCGUAUGCAACCUACCUUUAUCUGGGGGAUAGCCCGAAGAAAUUCGGAUUAACACCGCAUAAAAUCACAGAACGGCACCGUUCAAUGAUCAAAUAUUCAUAGGAUAGAGAUAGGCAUGCGUGCCAUUAGUUAGUUGGCGGGGUAACGGCCCACCAAGACCGCGAUGGCUAGGGGAUCGGAGAGGAUGGCCCCCAACACUGGUACUGAAACCAGGACCAGACUCCUACGGGAGGCAGCAGUAAGGAAUAUUGGUCAAUGGAGGCAACUCUGAACCAGCCAUGCCGCGUGCAGGAAGACAGCCCUCUGGGUCGUAAACUGCUUUUAUUCGGGAAUAAACCUGCUUACGUGUAAGUAGCUGAAUGUACCGAAGGAAUAAGGAUCGGCUAACUCCGUGCCAGCCGCCGCCGUAACAC
rnacentral:rRNA from 1 species